rnacentral:rRNA from 1 species
GACGAACGCUGGCGGCGUGCCUAAUACAUGCAAGUAGAACGCUGAAGGAGGAGCUUGCUUCUCUGGAUGAGUUGCGAACGGGUGAGUAACGCGUAGGUAACCUGCCUGGUAGCGGGGGAUAACUAUUGGAAACGAUAGCUAAUACCGCAUAAGAGUAGAUGUCGCAUGACAUUUGCUUGAAAGGUGCAAUUGCAUCACUACCAGAUGGACCUGCGUUGUAUUAGCUAGUUGGUGAGGUAACGGCUCACCAAGGCAACGAUACAUAGCCGACCUGAGAGGGUGAUCGGCCACACUGGGACUGAGACACGGCCCAGACUCCUACGGGAGGCAGCAGUAGGGAAUCUUCGGCAAUGGACGGAAGUCUGACCGAGCAACGCCGCGUGAGUGAAGAAGGUUUUCGGAUCGUAAAGCUCUGUUGUAAGAGAAGAACGAGUGUGAGAGUGGAAAGUUCACACUGUGACGGUAUCUUACCAGAAAGGGACGGCUAACUACGUGCCAGCAGCCGCGGUAAUACGUAGGUCCCGAGCGUUGUCCGGAUUUAUUGGGCGUAAAGCGAGCGCAGGCGGUUAGAUAAGUCUGAAGUUAAAGGCUGUGGCUUAACCAUAGUACGCUUUGGAAACUGUUUAACUUGAGUGCAAGAGGGGAGAGUGGAAUUCCAUGUGUAGCGGUGAAAUGCGUAGAUAUAUGGAGGAACACCGGUGGCGAAAGCGGCUCUCUGGCUUGUAACUGACGCUGAGGCUCGAAAGCGUGGGGAGCAAACAGG